AAUGUACGAAUUAAGUGCCUAUUUAAAAUAUCUGCAAUGCAGAGAUUUUGAACCAUAUUUAAUCAGACACACUUGCGAAUCACAGUGCCAAGAGUUGUAAGAGCUUAAAUAUUUCAGAACAAAAUGAAAAGUGAAAAAUAUAUUUUGAAUGCAGCAAUGUCACCUACCUACCAUAUAUGCAUAUCUUUAUGUUGAAGAACUGACGACAAACUUUGAAAAAUAAACAAUUAGAAUAUUAGAAUUAGAAUAGACUCGCCUAACGAUAGCCGCCCGCGAUUAGUAUACACCCUGUUAGAGGCCAAGUACACAGUAUUCUAUUAAGGCAAAUCACAGAACGUGUCGGUGUAAAUGAGAUCCACGUCCGAACUUGGUUCAAAAAUAGACGAGCAAAAAAAAGCACCCGCUCGGAGAGAAUGGAAAACGUAAUGAUGUGGAAUACUGAUACAACCUACUUUCAUUAUCAACGCACGACUGCUCUGAAGAUAUCAAGAUCUGACGAGCUGGAUGUCGUCGUGGAGAUCACCGAUAAUGAUAUCAACCAAUCAAUGUCGGUUCUGAAUUCACCGGCAUUUUUAAAUUAUGAUUUGAUAGCUCCAAUAUUAAAUGAAACAUGAACGAAUGUAAAUUCGAAAUCUCUAUAUCGGAUCACCGGUUGAUGGGCGUUUUUGAUAUGAUCUAUAGUGAAAGAAAUAGAACGAUGUCGAAAUGGGUUGAGCCUGCAAAUCUAACUUAUAUGUUUUUUGCAACAACAACAUCAUUUAUUGCUACAACAACACCAAUGAAUUCGCUGAAUAGUACGAGUGCCGGCAUGAUAUCAGCUCAAGUUACGGCCAGCAUUAUUAAAUAAUAUGAACAAUUUUAGCUUGAGUACAGGAAUAGCGCACAAGUUCGGCACUAGUUUGAUGUGAAUUUUCUAUUUAUUUUAUUCGUUCAACCACCAGUAGUUGGCGUUGCGUAAAGUGGAUCGAAGAGUAUAAUGGGCUAGAUCAGAAUGUGGUCAAUCGGAUGACUUCCUAAGCUUUUAAAACAAUUUGAAUAUAACUUCAAGAAGAAAACUUGAUGGAAUACCUGGCCGGUCAAUCUAAGCUUUUAAUGUUUUGUAUCAAGUAUAUGUUUUGUCUGUAUACGUAGUUUCAAAGCUGUAUUCGACUGCGAAAGUUCCGAUGUCGUAAAUAAGCAGAAACGGUUCAGCGAUUUUCCGGUAAAGCUUUCGAAGUGCUAGCCCCGAAAGCUGGGGUAGUCAAUGCAACUGAAUUUGUCUUUCAAUCGUAUUCAAUGUGUAUUCUUAAAUUUUAUUUCAAACUUUGAUAUUGAUUUAAUUUUCUGAAU